rnacentral:rRNA from 1 species
UACGUAGGUGGCAAGCGUUGUCCGGAUUUACUGGGCGUAAAGAGCGCGCAGGCGGUUGAUUAAGUCGAAUGUGAAAGCCCCCGGCUCAACUGGGGAGGGUCAUUCGAUACUGAUCGACUUGAAGGCAGGAGAGGGUAGUGGAAUUCCCGGUGUAGUGGUGAAAUUCGUAGAUAUCGGGAGGAACACCGGUGGCGAAGGCGGCGACCUGGGUAGAUACUGACGCUGAGGCGCGAAAGCUAGGGGAGCAAACGGG